UGUUUUUAACACUUUGUCACAUUUUAGAAUUGUGUGUUGAAUGGAGGAAGACCUCAAAACUUUCCUGAGAGGGAGAGGAGUAUCGGAGGAGAGCAUAAAUGCCAUGAAUCAUAAACAAGAUUGACGAGUCCGUUUUGACUUUACUUAAAGACGAACAGUUGGCAAAAUACCUGAGCUCCUUUGGAGACAGAGUGGCUGUUUUGGCUUUUUGCCACCAAACACAAACAACUGCAGCUGAAAAAGAGUCUCUCUUGCAAAUGGUGAGAGAAAAAUUAGACAAUAGAAGGAUAACAUCAACAUCAGGUCGAAGGCUGGGGGAAAGAAGAAAAGAGAAUUUUGUGCAAAGCAGUUCAAUGGCAAGACCCAGAAAUCAAAAUGGGGAGAAAACCAGCAGAAAGAUUGAAAGUGGAUGGCUCAAUUUCUGUAACGGUAGCUACCAACAAGUCAGGACUAGACAUGGUGGUGGCACCAGACAUGUCACAGCAGAAGAAGACUCUACAGUUGAACAGAUUUUAGCCAGGGGAAAGGAUCUCUUUUUCCCUAAUGGACUAUCAACUAAAGGGGAUGCUGCAGAUUUUACUUUUUCCAUUUGUGACUUAAAAAAACCCACCCUGCCUCUGGUUGACACUGUUGGUUACCUUUACGAACAAACUAAGUUAAAAAUGCUGCACUUUUACAUCUGCACUAAAAGUGCAGAGUUUUCCAGUGACGGUGGAUCUGAAAGUGAUGCAGCAAAGAGCAGCCCAGAUGUUAGAGAAACACUGGAAGAAGAGCCAAAAUGUGAUCAUGCCACUACUGAUGAGGUUUGUGUCUAAAUGUAGACACGGAAAUAAACACACAUACACUCUGAAAUCACAAAGGUUUUAUUGUUUUUUGCAGAAUCUACCAAUUCAACAACCAGCAUCAAAAAGAUCCAGAAGAUUGAGCCCUCUGCCCGAUUCAUCUGAAGUGCCCUCUGUAAAUAGAGCUGUUGGUGAUGAAGAGGAUACACUGUUAUGGGAUGGAGAAUAUGGAACAUUAGAAGAUGAUGAAGUUAUAAUAAUAAACUGGAAUUCAAACAAUACAGGUGAAACUGAGGUGUUGGUGCACACUGAUGUUGCUGUUCCAAACACCUCAUCUCAUGGGUAGCCUCUACUGUCGAAUGAAGCUCUCCAUGAAAUAAUGGAAACAAAUGUACAGCCAGUCACCAGUGAAAUAUUUCCAUCUGAUGAACCAGGCUCUGCAAAU